UGUGUAGGCGGUGUUCUAAGUCUGUUGUGAAAUCUCCCGGCUCAACUGGGAGGGUGCGGCGGAGACUGGAAUGCUAGAGUAUGGGAGAGGUAAGCGGAAUUCCUGGUGUAGCGGUGAAAUGCGUAGAUAUCAGGAGGAACACCUGUGGUGUAGACAGCUUACUGGACCAUGACUGACGCUGAGACACGAAAGCGUGGGUAGCAAACAGGAUUAGAUACCCUGGUAGUCCACGCCCUAAACGAUGCAUAAUUGGUGUGAGCCAUUCAUUUGGUUCGUGCCGGAGCUAACGCGUUAAGUAUGCCGCCUGGGGAGUACGGUCGCAAGGCUGAA
rnacentral:rRNA from 1 species